rnacentral:lncRNA from 1 species
UCUUAUCAGCUCUUUACUUGGAAAGAAUUUUCAUGUCAUUCCAAAAGUGCUAUUCACCUCCCUUUUAGCACGCUCUUUGAGACCAACAAGAGUAGCUUACAUGCUUAAAGUUAAAAGCACAAGAAAGGUGUAAAUUUUAUCAUUUGUGGCUCAAGAAGAUUUUUGAGGUAAAACAUGUGCAAUAUUAAUUCUCAAUAUUCAUAUAUUUUAAAUUAAGUGCUUAUCCUUGUGAAAUUGAGAAUAUGCGUGACAAAAGUGCUUAAUGAUGA